GAUCAUGGCUCAGAACGAACGCUGGCGGCAGGCCUAACACAUGCAAGUCGAGCGAACCCUUCGGGGUUGGCGGCGGACGGGUUAGUAACGCGUGGGAAUAUACCCUUUGGUACGGAAUAGCCUCGGGAAACUGAGAGUAAUACCGUAUGUGCCCUUCGGGGGAAAGAUUUAUCGCCAAAGGAUUAGCCCGCGUUGGAUUAGAUAGUUGGUGGGGUAAUGGCCUACCAAGUCUACGAUCCAUAGCUGGUUUGAGAGGAUGAUCAGCAACACUGGGACUGAGACACGGCCCAGACUCCUACGGGAGGCAGCAGUGGGGAAUCUUAGACAAUGGGCGCAAGCCUGAUCUAGCCAUGCCGCGUGGACGAUGAAGGCCUUAGGGUUGUAAAGUCCUUUCAGAUGGGAAGAUAAUGACGGUACCAUCAGAAGAAGCCCCGGCUAACUCCGUG
rnacentral:rRNA from 1 species